UGCUUUUGGAAAGAGAUAAAUGGGAUGAAAAUAUACUUUGAAAUUAGAUUUAUAUAUAUAAUUACUUUAAAUAUUUAGGUUGAAAAAUCAUAAUGCGUAAGUCAGUAACAUUUUCAUUUAUGGCUCAACUCAUAUCCACUUAAAGCAGAAAUAUAGGAACAAGUUAACAUGGUAAUUUUCAAACCAUUUAUCUCAUUUUAAAAUCAACAACAAAUAUACCGAGAUUGAACCACUGCCACUCAGAUUCUAACAUUUAGCAUCUGCAAUGUUAAAAGCUAGAAAGCACCACAGCCUAAGGGCUUUCUCCUCAAUUCCCCAAGAUAAAUCCAAUCAUCUCAAUUUUGCUUUGCUUCAGGGAAAGAUCUGGAUGUGUGGUCAUCCUCCAGCAGCUGCAGAAGAGACAGGGUCUUGCCUUGUUGCCCAGGCUGGAGUGCAGUGGUGUGAUCAUGGCUCACUGCAGCCUCAACCUCCUGAGCUCAAGUGAUCCUCCCACCUCAGCCUCCUGGAAAGAUGGGACUACAAGUGUACACCACCAAGCUCAGGUAAUUUUUUUUUUAAAAUUUCUUGUAGAGAUGGAGUCUCGCUAUGUUGAUCAGGCUGGUCUCAAACUCGUGGCCUCAAACAAUCCUCCUGCCUCAGCCUCCCAAAGUGCUAGGAUUACAAGCCUGAGCCACUGCACCCAGUUAUCAUUGAUGGUUUUAUAGAUUGCUAUUACAAGGUCUCAUCACCUCUGUAGGAUAGAAUUUUGCCAUUACUACCUUUAGUCGUGACUGUUCUCUUGUCUAUUUCUACUUCCCUUUAAAGUUGAGGGCGAUCAGAGAUAGGGGAAGAGAGGCCAGUUAGAAAAACAUACUGAUCAGACCAGCUGGGAGGUUGUGCCAGGAGGCUUUUUAACAUGGACCCUCCAGCCAGGCAUGGUGGCUUACACCUAUAAUCACAGCACGAUGGGAGGCCAAUGUGGGCUCCCAUAGUGACUAACAUGGUGGAACCCCAUCUCUACUAAAAGUAAAAAAAUCAGCCAGGCGUGGUGGCGCAUGCCUAUAAUCCCAGCUACUCGGGAGGCUGGGGCAGGAGAAUCGCUUGAACCCAGGAGGCAGAGGUUGCAGUAAGCUGAGAUCACACCACUGCACUCCAGACUGGGCAACAAGAGCAAAAUUUCAUCUAAAAAAAACAAGGUCCCUCCAAAGCAGACAGCCCAGCAACACUGCAGCAGGAUUGUGACUGGUGAGAAGGAGGGGCAGUCUGACGGAGCCCUCAACCGGUGGGACCUGACGCCGUCUCCAGGCAGACAGUGUGGGAACUGAACUGCAGUGGGUGUCUGCUGAAGAAGUGACUGCUUGCUUGCUGGAGGGAAGACUGCCCCACAUAUAUUCAGGGUCACAGAUAGCCCCACAUAUAUUCAGGGUCACAGAUAUCCCCACACAUUUUGGGAUCACAGAAGUCUGUGUUGAUUGUUGUUGUGUGACACCAGAGGAAAAAGAGUUUGAGAGUUUUUUCCAAACAGUAAGUGUAUGUUUCUAAAACCCUGUUUGAAAAAACAGUUUAAAGAUGUCUUCAAACAAAAACAGCAUUUCCACCAGUAAUGGUGGAAGAUUACAACGCCCCUUUUUCAGUAAUUGGCAGAACAUUCAAAUAAAAACAAAUUCGGUCUCAAUUUAGAGCUGGUGGUCCAAUAUGAUAGCCAUGAGCCACAUGUGGUUACUAAAUUUUUUUUUUUUUUGAGAUGAGUCUCACUUUGUCAUCCAGCUGGAGUGCAGUGGCAUAGUCUCAGCUAACUGCAACCUCCAUCUCCUGGGUUCAAGCGAUUCUCCUGCCUCAGCUUCCCGAGUAGCUGGGACUACAGGCACGCACCACCUCACCCAGCUAAUGUUUGUAUUUUUAGUAGAGAUGGGGUUUCACCAUGUUGACCAGGGUGGUCUCGAUGUCUUGACCUUGUGAUCCGCCCGCCUCAGUCUCACAAAGUGCUGAAAUUACAGGCAUGAGCUACCAUGCCUAACCUAAAGUUUAAUUAAGUAAGAGUAAAUAAAACUAAAGAUUCUGCUCCUCAGUUACACUAGUUAUUGUUCAAGUGCUCAAUAACCACAUGUGGCUAGUGGCUACCCUGGUAGACAGUGUGGAUGGAGAACACGCCCAUCAUCACAGAGAGAGCUGUACUGAAGAGUCUGAUGUUUUAAAUGCAUUUAAACAGAAUUCAUAAACUUGACUGAAUAGAUGUAUAUAGAACACUGCACCCAACAACUGCAGAAUAUAAACCCUUAUAAAGCAUAUACGGAACAUUUAUAAGAAUCUGCAUAUCCAGGGCCAUAAAGAAAUCUUAAUAUGUUUACAAUUGAAAUUAUAUAAAAUGUAUUCUCUAACCAUAAUGUAAUUAAACUAGGUACACAAAAAAACUUCUAAAAAUCCCUCCCAGUUUCAAAACUUAAAACCAUUUCUGAAUAACCUAUAGAUCAAAAUGAAAAUGCGGUUGCACAAAAAUGUCAAGGUCCUUAAUGCCACUGAGCUGUGCGCUUUAUUUAUUUUAUUUUUAUUUUUUUGAGAAGGAGUCCCAUUCUGUUGCUCAGGCUGGAGUGCAGUGGAGUGCUCAGCUCACUGCAACCUCCACCUCCCAGAUUCAAACAAUUCUCCGGCCUCAGCCUCCCCAGUAGCUGUGACUACAGGUGCCCCAUGCCUGGAUAAUUUCUUGUAUUUUUUAGUAGAGAUGGGGUUUCACCAUGUUGGCCAGGCUGGUCUCAAACUCCUAACCUCAAGUGAUCCGCCUGCCUCAGCCUCCCAAAGUGCUGGACCCGGCCAAGCUGUACACUUUAAGUUAGUUAAAGGGGGCUAGGAGCAGUGGCUCAUGCCUGUAAUCCCAGUACUUUGGGAGGCUGAGGCAGGAGAAUCACUUGAGCCUAGGAGUUUGAGACCAGCCUGGCCAGCAUAGAAAAAUCCUGUCCCUACCAAAAAGAAAAAAGUUUUUGUUUCAUACAGGGUCUCACUCUGUUGCCCAGGCUGGAGUGCAGUAGCAUAAUACUGGCUCACUGCAACCUCUACCUCCCAGAGCUAAGCAAUCCUCCCACUUCAGCCUCCCAAGUAGCUGGGACUACAAAUGCAUACCAUCACACCCAACUAAUUUUUGUAUUUUUUGGUAGAGACAGGGUUCUGCCAUGUUUCCUAAGCUGAUCUUGAACCCCUGGGCUCAAGUGAUUCUCCUGCCUCAGCCUCCCAAAGUGCCAGGAUUACAGGCAUAAGCCACUGUGCCCAGUACCCCCCGCACACAAUAUUUUUUUCUUAGUGAGCCAAGCACGGUGGCACACAACUAUGGUCCCAGCUACUUGGGAGGCUGAGGUGGGAGGAUUCUUGAUCGCAGGAGGUGUGGCUGUAGUGAAUAAUAAUUGUGCCACUGCACUCCAGCCUGGCUGACAGAGAAAGACCCUGUCUCAAAAGUAAAUAAGUAAGGCCAGGCACAUGGCUCAUACCUGUAAUCCCAGCACUUUGGAAGGCUAGGACAGGUGGAUCACGAGGUCAGGAGUUCAAGACCAGCCUGACCAAGAUGGUGAAACUCUGUAUCUACUAAAAAUACAAAAAAUUAACUGGGCGUGGUGGCACAUGCCUGUGGGCCCAGCUACUCCAGAGGCUGAGGUGGGAGGAUCACUUGAACCUGGAAGGCAGAGGUUGCAGUGGUCCAAGAUCACACCACUACAGUCCAGCCUGGGUGACAGAAUGAGAUUCCAUCGCAAAAAAUAAUAAUAAGUGAUUUAAAAAGUGGUUAAAAUAGUAAUGUGUGUUAUGUGUAUUUCAGCACCAUUUUUCAAAAUUCCAAGUAGUGGUAAUAGGGGCAUUCUUUUCUUUCCUUCUUUCCUUUCUUUCUUCUUUCCUUCCUUCCUUCCCUCCCUCUCUCCCUUUUUCUUUCUUUCUUUCUCUCCCCCCCCCUUUCUUUCUUUUUCUUUCUUUGACAGAAUCUGACUCUGUCACCCAGGCUAGUCUUAAACUCCUGACCUAACGAUCCAGCUGCCUCGUCCUCCCAAACUGGUGGGACUACAGGUGUGAGCCAUCGUGUCCGGCAGAGGGCAUUCCGUUAAUUCUGGCAUCACUGGGAACAUUUCUCAUUUCCUCAUUGAGUACACAUUGCAUUAGUGUUUUUUUGUUGGUUGGUUGGUUGGUUUUGAAACAGUCUCGCUCUGCCACCCAGGCUGGAGUGCAAUGGUGUAAUAUCAGCUCGCUGCAACUGCCACCUCCUGAGUUCAGGUGAUUCUUGUGCCUCAGCCACCCAAACAGCUGGGGUAACAGGUGUGCGCCACCACACCCUGCUAAUUUUUGUAUUUUUACCAUGUUGACCAGGCUGGAAUAUAUGUUUUCUUUUCUUUUUUUUUGCAUUUUAGAUUCUGGGGUACAUGUGCAGAACAUGCAGGAUUGUUGCAUGGCAAUGUGAUUUGCUGCCUCCAUCCCCCAGUCACCUACAUCUGGCAUUUCUCCCCAUGUUAUCCCUCCCCAACUUCCCUAUCCCCCGUCCCUCCCCUAGUCCCCUCCAAUAGACCCCAUGUGUGAUGCUCCCCUCCCUGUUUCCAUGUGUUCUCAUUGUUCAACACCUGCCUAUGAGUGAGAAGAUGCAGUGUUUGAUUUUCUGUUCUUGUGUCAGUUUGCUGAGUAUGAUGGUUUCUAGAUUCAUCCAUGUCCCUACAAAGGGCACAAACUCAUCGUUUUUUAUGGCUGCAUAGUAUUCCAUGGUGUAUAUGUGCGACAUUUUCCCUGUCCAGUCUAUUAUUGAUGGGCAUUUGGGUUGGUUCCAGGUCUUUGCUAUUGUAAACAGUGCCAAAAAGAACAUAUGUGUAUAUGUGUCUUUAUAAUAGAAUGAUUUAUAAUCCUCUGGAUAUAUACCCAGUAAUGGUAUUGAGGUGUCAAAUGGAAUUUCUAUUUCUAGGUCCUUGAGGAAUCGCCACACUGUCUUCCACAAUGGUUGAACUAAUUUAUGCUCCCACCAACAGUGUAAAAGUGUUCCUGUUUUUCUACAUCUUCUCCAGCAUCUGUUGUCUCCAGAUUUUUUAAUGAUCACCAUUCUAACUGGCAUGAGAUGGUAUCUCAAUGUGGUUUUGAUUUGCAUUUCUCUAAUGACCAGUGAUGAUGAGCAUUUUUUCAUAUGUUUGUUGGCCUCAUGUAUGUCUUCUUUUGUAAAGUGUCUGUUCAUGUCCUUUGCUCACUUUUGAAUGGGUUUGUUUGUUUUUUUCUUGUAAAUCUGUUUUAGUUCUUUGUAGAUUCUAGAUAUUAGCCCUUUGUCAGAUGGGUAAACUGCAAAAAUCUUUUCCCAUUCUGUUGGUUGCCGGUUCACUCUAAUGAUUGUUUCUUUUGCUAUACAGAAGUUCUGGAGUUUAAUUAGAUCCUAUUUGUCUAUUUUGGCUUUUGUUGCCAAUGCUUUUGGUGUUUUGGUCAUGAAGUCCUUGCCUACUCCUAUGUCCUGAAUGGUUUUGCCUAGAUUUUCUUCUAGGGUUUUUAUGGUGUUAGGUCUUAUGUUUAAGUCUUUAAUCUAUCUGGAGUUAAUUUUAGUGUAAGGUGUCAGGAAGGGGUCCACUUUCUGCUUUCUGCACAUGGCUAGCCAGUUUCCCCAACACCAUUUAUCAAACAGGGAAUCCUUUCCCCACUGCUUGUUUUUGUCAGGUUUGCUUCCUUAUGUGGAUACUACACAUAAAUGUUAAAUUUUAUAAAUUUUUGUGACUAUUUUUAAAAAUAUAAUGAAAAUUAGAAAAUGAGUUUGAAUAAAAAUGUUACAUGGCAAAAUAUACAUGAUGCAGCUAAAGCAGUUAUCAGAGGGAAAUGUAUAGCCUGAAAUGAAUAUAUCAAAAGAGAAAAACAGGGGGCAAAAAAAUCAACAAUGAGCAUCCAUUUCAAAAAGUUAGGAAAGAACAAAAUAAACCUGAAGAAAAUUAAAGGAAAAAAGAUAAUAAAUUAAUGAAAAUAUAUCAUAAAGAGAAUCCACAAAUCCUCAGCGUGGGGAAAAACUAAACCAAUUCACAAACCUCUGGCAAGUCUGAUCAAGAAACAGAGAAAAAAAUAAAAAUAAAAAUAAGUUUAAAAAAUAUAGCACAUUGGAGGGUUCAGGUUAAAUAUACACUGAAAACCUGUGCUUCAUAGUCCCUUAAAUUUUAUAAUCUCUUCCUCCUGAAAUCCUACUAAAGUGAAGGAAAAAAGGUAUAAAGCCACAAGGACAGAGAGCAAGGCAGGUGAUGACAUCAGGCAAAAGGCAUCAGUAAAAUUUGGAGAAAAGAAAAGGAAGUAAAGAGGUAAAAAUGGCCUCACAGAACUGAGCAGGAUGAAUCCUAACUGCCAGAGGGGAAACGCCUCCAGGAUAGAAGUUGAGCCCUAGAAAGAGUCAUAUGAGCCAGGUGUGGUGGCUCACGCCUAUCAUCCCAGCACUUUGGAAGGCCAAGAUGGGAGGAUUUCUUGAGCUCAGGAGUUUAAGACCAGCUAGGCAACACAGCGAGACCUCAUCUCUACUAUAAAUUAAAAAUGGGAAAAAUAGGUAUGGUGACGCAAGCCUGUGGUCCCAGCUACUCAGGAGGCCGAGGCUGCAGGAUCACUUGAACCUGGGAGGUCAAUUCUGCAGUGAGCUUAGAUCAUGCCAUUGCACUUCAGCCUGGGCAACAGACUAAGAUCCUGUCUCAAAAAAAAAAUUAAAGAGUUGUAUGAGGUGCCAGCUUCCUCAAUGCUAGUGCAGUGGAUUAUCUUUUCCAGAUGUUCAGCAUCAAUCAGCACCCCAGCCCUCAUGCUCUUCUGCCUAUAAUAUGGAUGUGCUCCAUUAAGAGUUGGGAUCCAUGGGCCCUCGCCUGGAACCUGGGCUUGGUGCCAUUGAAAGUAAUGGCAAAACCCACAAUGACUUUUGCACCAAAUAAUAACUUCCCCAGUGAGGGUAGAAUGGGUGAGGAAGGGCCUGCAGAGCUCCUGAGGAUAAAAGAGAAAAAGCAAUGCAGUAUCCUCUCAGUCUGUCUCUGAAUGCUGUCCUUUCAGACUAGCCAGUGUGUUCUGAGGAAGGCCAGGCACAGGAGGAGGUCAUGCAUGUGAGGGUCCCAGCAACAGCCCAGCCGGGCCCCUCCAGCCCGGAGCCUCUCAGUAGAGGCUGUAGACAAGGUGUCUCACUGCCCAGGGCCAACUUCCAGCCCAGAAAAUGUAUCUGUGUGCUCAUUCAACCAUGAAUUGAAAAUAUUUGGGAAUAUUUUCAAUUAAUAAAAAAUAAUAAACAAUGAAAAGUAAUACAAAUUAAAAACACAGCAUAACUAUUUACAUGGUAUUUUAUUGUAGUAGGUGUUAUAAGUGAUCUAGAGAUGAUUUGAAGUAUACAGGAGGGUGUGCACAGGUUAUAUGCAGAUACUACACCAUUUUAUAUAGGGACUUGAAUAUCCACAGAUUUUGGUAUCCAUGGGGGUGUCUUGGAAACAAUCUCUCACAGCUAUCAAGGGACAACUGUUUUCACUAGUUUUAAGCUACUAGUUUUCAAGGUAAUUUUAUUACACAGCAAUUGAUACUUCUUUCACAUUCUUUCCCCUAGUUCAUAUGCCAGGUGGUCACCCCUCUUCAACCCAAAGGCUUGCAGAUUUCAGUCUUGAGUGGCAGAAGCAGGGUAGGCUUGGACUUGAGAUGACCCUAGGGACAGCAGAAGCCAAGGGUAACGGCUUCCUGAAAACGAAUGAGCUGAAAGGCCUCAUGGUAAAGGAGACCUCUCCCAGCGCUUUCCUCCAUCCCUGUUCCCAGGAUGCUGGUGCCAGGCUUAUUCCCCAUGAGACAGGAGGCUGCAGAUGCACGGUCUGGGCAGCUCACUCAAGAGAUGCUGGCAGGUGUACAUGUUUGGAGCCCCCAGAGGAACAGCUGGGUCCUCAUCCAAUUACAGAAAACAGGUAUCCCCCGUGCACAGAGCUCCUAAAAAGCUCUUUCAGGCCUUACUCUUAAAUAUGAGCAGACAGGCUAAGAGCAAACAUCUGAGUACAUCCUCUGCUAGUAAGGAAGAGAACUAUGCAGAAAAAGGCAAGGCAGGGAAGGGAAGGCAGCUCCGAAAAUAUAUUUCUGGCCUUUUUUUUUCUUUGUAGGUUAAAAGAAAUCUGAAAACAGAAUGCUAUUUUUUUUUAAUGUAAAGAACAUUAGGAACCAGAAAUAGAUGAUCUCUUGGGAAUUUAAAACUAAGUAUUUUACAGGCUCUACAGAGGAGGUACUUCAUCAAAAGGAAGAAACCAGCCAAGCAAAAGGAAGACCCAGACAUGCAAGGCAGGGGAAUCACCUAAAGGAGGGAAAUGGUAAAGAAAGCCCAGUUCAGCAGCUGUGCCUGCUCUAGUAUAAAAUCUACACUAGAACAAGAGGAUUGAGGACUCAAAAAACAAAAAAUGUCUCCAAGGGAAAAAAAACAUCAAACGAACAGAACACCUGAUAUAUCUGACAUAUGGCAAGUUUUAUAGUACUAUUAGGCUAUUUCAGGCAUUAGUGAUAGGUAAAAUAAAUACGAAAUAAAAAACAGUGAUAGGUGGCUUACUUUUUAAUAAUCCUAUUACUGGAGUAGGGGCAAAAAAAAUGAGCAAACAAAAAAGUGAAACAAUUAUUAAUUUCAGGAAAACCAUAAAUUUUAACAAAAAAUAUAUUACAUGGCUCACCUGCAAAUAUUUACACAGCCAUAAUUCAAAUACAGAACAGAGAUUAAACAAAACAAUCAUACGGUUACUAUUGUGGGGAUAUGAGGGUUGGUAUGUGUCUGGGGGUAGAAUGGGGAGGCAAAGCUAAGAUCCUGAGCCAAAUCUUCAUCUCCCAUAAUGGGAAGUCAGUUGAUAAUGUUCACAAUCGAAAAGCCAACAGAUAAGUCUAAAUAAAAAGAGGGUGGCCAAUGCCGAAAGGAAAGUGAAAUCGAGUUGAAAGGGGCAAGGGGCAUGGGUGGGAAAUGCGGCAGGGGCAUGUUUUGUCAUUUUAAGCAAAAUUGUUUAAAUUACUGCACAUGUAAACUUUGCUAAAAAUAAAAUCUAAUCUGAAAAGAAAACGUGACUAUGAAGUAAGGCAUGGGAGACAGUCUAGAUCACUCUUCACAGCAUAUUGGCAGUGGGAGGAAAAGAAUCCCAUGGUCCACAAGCACUUCCACCCCCAAACCCCAGCACACACACACACACACACACACACACACACACGGAAUUUCCUAAUAACUUUUUAGUGUCCAUCCCUUAAGUAAGAAUGGGGAACCAGGGAUCAAAGAGGCAAGAGGUGAAAGACUCUGCUGAAGAAACACAGGAAGAGCAGAAAGCAAACAAAAACUUCUAAUAUAUAUCACUAGUAAGAAAAAUCCUAUAUGCAUGAAUCGGGAACCAGAUACUAUCUUUAAAAAGAAAUAUAAAGGGAAGGAAAGGAAUGAGAGAAGGAAGAGAAUGAACGCCAGCCCAGAAAACAAUUCAAGAGCUCUUAAAUUUAAAAGAAUAAUAGGAUCCCUCAAAUGGAAAAUGUAAUGAGAGAUUUAGAAGAUACAGCUGAGAAUAUCACCCGGAAAUCAAAACAACAAAAGAUGAAAAUCUGUAAAGAAAAACUUAGAAAAUUAGAGGAUAAAAUGAUAGUCUAAUAUCCAACUAAGGACUCAAAAAAAAAAAAGAAAUGGGAAAAAAAUAGAAACAAAAUAAUUGCAGAAACCUUCCAGGAAUUAAGAACGUGAGUUUGUCUAUAAAGGCCCGCCAAGUGCCCAGCAAAGCAAAGGAAAACAGAUCUAGAUCAAGGAAAAAUGUCAGAACACAAAGGCCAAAGAGAAGACCCUGAAAGCUUCCUGAAGGGAAACACGUUUCCUACAAAAGAUCCAGAUCAAGAAUCAUAACAAUGCCUGUCUGUAACAUCAGCUGUCAUAACACAUAGCAGGAGAUGCCUCCAGAGUGUCUACAGACUACAAUUCCAUGCCCAGCCACACUCACCAAAUUGUAAGGGUAGAAUAAAGCCAUCUCCUGGCAUUCAAGGAAAACUAACCUUUGAACCAUCCUCUCUCAGGAAGCCACUAGAAGAUGUGCUCCACCAAGGACAUGAGGGCCACACGACAGAGACUCAAACCCAAGAGAGAAGCCAAGAAAGGUCCUAGGAGGAUGGCCAAGGGCCCUCCCAAGAUGCCAGCCAGCCAGCAGGCCACAACAGCAGCAGCCACGUCUGACAGAAGUAGGUCAGGGGCCCUGGGAGGGGUGUCUAAAGAUGGCAAGAGUGAUAGUGAACCUGAUGUGUUGGUUCUAUUGUGAAAGAAAAAGGAGAAUCAUGGGAAACAGUAUGGAUCAGCUUUGAGCAACUUUUUCCAUGGACACAAUAUUGUAGUUACUAAUUAUGAAUCCAACAAACUCUAUGAGGACUGUAUUGAGCAGGUAUGAAGCUGGCUCAUGUGUGUGUGGGUGAGGGGAUCAGUAAAAAAAAAAAUGUUAAAAACUGAAAAAACAAUCAAAUGUAAAUAAAAGCUAUGUUACUUGGAGAUACGGAAAUAAAUACCAAAGGAAAAUCCAGGGUGUUAUGUAUGGCAGGGGACUGAUGCGCUUUUGUAACAAGUCAGGUGGAACUACAUGAUUCUAUGUGAAUCUGUGGGUUCGAGGGAGGUAAGAAUUUUUAUGUCUUGUAGAAACUCAAAAGAGUACUCAUUGCUCUAGUAUUUCAAACCAUUCACUUAAAAGCCAGGAUAUUUAAUCUUGUGCAAACAACACAGGAGUCAAAGGGCCUCUUACAGGUGGGAGCAAAACAAAAGAUGCUGCUAUCGUGAGUCCUGAAAGCAGAAACAUCCUUUCUCCUUCCUGAUGCCUAAACCAGAAACAUUUGUUAGCAGGGAAGAAAUAACUGGGAGGACACUAUCUCUAAGGAAACCAAAAUAAUCAUGAACUCAGAGCUUACCUGAGCUGGUAAACACAGGCACCAUCCAUAUCACAAUGCUGCCUAAAAACUGUAUUUCUAUUGCAUGCAAAUAUUUGACAGCUCCAUCACAAACAAUAAAAGAUGGGGGAGAGAAACGCCCGUUUAGCCUGAUAAAGUACAUCUCAAUUUAGCUAGCAGAUCAGAGCCCACAGGAAUAAUCUGGAAGGCAUGUUCCCUACCCCUCCACCUUCUGUUAUUUGCAUUUCUAGCAGUGAUCACUGAAGCAUCAGGAUUUGUGGGGAUUCACAAGUAACAUGAUGGGAGGAGGCAAUCCUGCCUCCGAUGAUGAGCUGAAAAUAGCUGAAGAUGGUACAACCAGGAGCAAAGCGACCUGGCUCAGAGCCGAAAUUUCAUCUCCUCAGCCUCUCACAGAGAAGCCAGGAAGAGUCUGAUUGGCUUGCAAUCGGGUAAACAAAAAUACAUACAUAAAUAAAUAAAGUCACUAAUCCUGAGCUUCUGUUUCUUCAUCUAUAAAAUUGAGAUUAAAACGCGGUCUUUUUUCGAAUUGUUUUGAACAUUAAAUGACAACAUACAUAUUCCUACAUCAGUGACUGGAUGUCUAACAGGCUCUCAUUGUAU